CGUAGGGUGCGAGCGUUAAUCGGAAUUACUGGGCGUAAAGCGUGCGCAGGCGGUUCGCCAAGUCAGGUGUGAAAUCCCCGGGCUUAACCUGGGAAUUGCGCUUGAAACUAGCGGGCUUGAGUGCGGCAGAGGGGGGUGGGAAUUCCACGUGUAGCAGUGAAAUGCGUAGAGAUGUGGAGGAACACCGAUGGCGAAGGCAGCCCCCUCGGGUCGACACUGACGCUCAUGCACGAAAGCGUGGGGAGCAAACAGGAUUAGAUACCCUCGGUAGUCCACGCCCUAAACGAAUGUCGACUAGGUGUUGGGGAAGGAGACUUCCUUAGUACCGCAGCUAACGCGUGAAGUCGACCGCCUGGGGAGUACGGUCGCAAGAUUA
rnacentral:rRNA from 1 species